AGGGUUUGAUCAUGGCUCAGAACGAACGCUGGCGGCACGCCUAACACAUGCAAGUCGAGCGCGCCUUCGGGUGAGCGGCGGACGGGUUAGUAACGCGUGGGAACGUACCCUUUUCUACGGAAUAGCCUUUGGAAACGAAGAGUAAUACCGUAUACGCCCUUUGGGGGAAAGAUUUAUCGGAGAAGGAUCGGCCCGCGUUAGAUUAGAUAGUUGGUGGGGUAACGGCCUACCAAGUCUACGAUCUAUAGCUGGUUUUAGAGGAUGAUCAGCAACACUGGGACUGAGACACGGCCCAGACUCCUACGGGAGGCAGCAGUGGGGAAUCUUAGACAAUGGGCGCAAGCCUGAUCUAGCCAUGCCGCGUGAGUGAUGAAGGCCUUAGGGUCGUAAAGCUCUUUCGCCUGUGAUGAUAAUGACAGUAGCAGGUAAAGAAACCCCGGCUAACUCCGUGCCAGCCGCCGCGGUAAUAC
rnacentral:rRNA from 1 species